rnacentral:rRNA from 1 species
AACGUUAGCGGCGGGCUUAACACAUGCAAGUCGAGCGAGAAAGGGGGCUUCGGUCCCCGAGUAAAGCGGCGGACGGGUGAGUAACACGUGGGUAAUCUGCCCUUCAGCGGGGGACAACAGUCCGAAAGGACUGCUAAUACCGCAUACGUCACGAGGCCCUGCGGGGCUUUGUGGGAAAGCUGGCCUCUACUUGUAAGCUGGCACUGAAGGAGGAGCCCGCGUCGCAUCAGCUAGUUGGUGAGGUAAUGGCUCACCAAGGCUAAGACGCGUAGCUGGCUGAGAGGUGAUCAGCCACACUGGGACUGAGACACGGCCCAGACUCCUACGGG